UUGUGGAGGAGGACGCCGAAGGUGGGGCUAAUGACUGGGGUGAAGUCGUAACAAGGUAGCCGUACCGGAAGGUGCGGCUGGAUCACCUCCUAACAGGGAGACAACAAAAUGUUAAAUAUUAAUUUUGUCACCUUAGGUCGAUCGGUACCUCGCAUUCUUAAAUUUAUUAAGGAUUUUAUUUCCUAAGUUUUUUCUAGGUCACACCCAUUACCUUUUCCUGGGCCAUUAGCUCAGGUGGUUAGAGCGCACCCCUGAUAAGGGUGAGGUCCCUGGUUCAAGUCCAGGAUGGCCCAUAUCUCUAUGUUGGGGGUAUAGCUCAGUUGGUAGAGCGCCUGCUUUGCAAGCAGGAUGUCAGCGGUUCGAGUCCGCUUACCUCCACUGAUUACCACCUCUUCCAUAAUUUCUAGAAGGGAAAUGUUUUGAGUUGUGAUCAAAUUCUGAACGAAUCUAGCUUCCUAAUUAUUCAUACUUAAGAUGCUGGACUCAUUGAAUUAAUUUCAUUGUUUUCAGAGAACCUUGACAACUGCAUAGAUUAUUUUUAAAAGACAAUAAGCAUCUUUAAUGAUGCAGAUUUAUUAUUUGUGCAAAUGCAUUAAUAACAAUUCUAUUAAGCUGAUGCUUCAAUUUUGAAGUUAUUGGUCAAGCUACAA
rnacentral:misc_RNA from 1 species